CCGUUCGGAUGACUUGUGGGUAGGGGUGAAAGGCCAAUCAAGCCUGGAGAUAGCUGGUUCUCCCCGAAAUCUAUUGAGGUAGAGCCUCGAGCAAUUGUGUACAGGAGGUAGAGCGACUGGAUGGGCGCGGGCUGGCGUAGCUGGUACCAACCCCAACCAAACUCCGAAUGCCUGUUACAUGUAUCUCGGGAGGCAGUCGUUGAGCGAUAAUGUCCAACGGCGAGAGGGAAAGAACCCAGAACCACAGCUAAGGCCCCAAAGUGGCCGCUGAGUAUAGCGAAGGAUGUGUCCCUACACUGACGGCUGGGAGGUUGGCUUAGAAGCAGCCACUCCUUUAAAGAGUGCGUAAUAGCUCACCAGUCCAGUGGGAAUGCGCCGAGAAUGGUCGGGAUUAAGCGGCCCGCCGAAGCUUGGUCUUCAUACUAUGUAUGAGGGGUAGGGGAGCGUUCUGAUCGCCUUGAAGCGUCGGUGGAAACCAGACGUGGAGCGUUCAGAAGUGAGGAUGCCGGAAUGAGUACGCGCAAAUGCGGGUGAAAACCCCGCACACCGUAAGCCCAAGGAUUCCUGCGCCAUGGCAAUCAGCGCAGGGUGAGGCGGACCCUAAGACGAGGCCCCAGAGGCGUAGUCGAUGGACAAUCGGUCAAUAUUCCGAUCCCGUCUGUAGUGUGUUAGCAACCCCAGGGGGACCCUGGAACGAAAUGUCAGCGGCUUUGUGGAUUGGCCGUGAAAAGGCGUAGGGAAACCGAGACCUGAGACGAGGAUGCGGGGCAACCCAAAUCCAAGUGAUGUGGAGUCGACAGGCAAGAAAAGCCCUGGUGGGGAAUGCUGCAGACGUCCGUACCGUAAACCGACACAGGUGGGCAAGGCGAGUAGCCUAAGGUGAACGAGUGAAACCGGGUCAAGGAACUCGGCAUAAUGAUCCCGUAACUUCGGAAGAAGGGAUGCCGAAAUGGGUUGGCGACCUCGCGUCGCAGGCUCAUCUCGGUCGCAGAUAAUCGACUCAAGCGACUGUUUAGCAAAAACACAGGUGAGUGCCAAGCCGCACAAGGCGCCGUAUACUCACUGACGCCUGCCCGGUGCCGGAAGGUUAAGGGGAGAUGUUAGCCGCAAGGCGAAGCAUUGAGCCGAAGCCCCGGUAAACGGCGGCCGUAACUAUAACGGUCCUAAGGUAGCGAAAUUCCUUGUCGNNUUUACUGCAGCUUGUCAUUGGACGUCGCAUUAGACUGUGUAGCAUAGCUGGGAGACUUUGAGACUCGGGCGCCAGCUCGGGUGGAGUCAUCAGUGAAAUACCAGCCUGGCUCAUGUAACGUCCUCACCACGCUCGGGCAAACCCCGGCUGGGACCGUGGCAGGUGGGCAGUUUGACUGGGGCGGUCGCCUCCGAAAGAGUAACGGAGGCGCGCGCAUGGUUCCCUCAGCGCGGACGAUAUUCGCGCUCUAGAGUGUAACGGCAUAAGGGAGCCUGACGGCGAGACCGACGGGUCGAGCCGCCACGAAAGUGGGCCGUAGUGAUCCGGUAGCCCGGUGUGGAUCGGCUAUCGCGCAACGGAUAAAAGGUACGCUGGGGAUAACAGGCUUAUCGCGCCCGAGAGUUCACAUCGACGGCGCGGUUUGGCACCUCGAUGUCGGCUUAUCACAUCCUGGGGCUGGAGAAGGUCCCAAGGGUCCGGCUGUUCGCCGGUUAAAGUGGUACAUGAGCUGGGUUCAGAACGUCGUGAGACAGUUCGGUCUGUAUCCGCUGUGGGCGUUGGAGAGUUGAGGGGUGCGGACUCUAGUACGAGAGGACCGAGUCGGACGAUCCGCUCGUGUCCCGGCUGUCACGCCAGUGGCACCGCCGGGUAGCGAUGAUCGGCACGGAUAACCGCUGAAAGCAUCUAAGUGGGAAGCCGUCCCCAAGAUGAACUCUCCCUGGGACCUUGAGUCCCCUGAAGGGCCGUGGGAGACCACCACGUCGAUAGGUCGGAAGUGGAAAGCCAGCAAU
rnacentral:rRNA from 1 species